UUACGCUCGGAGGCAUUGGGCGCAGCUGGAGGGGUCCGUCUAUUCGCUAUGUUCUGUGUCAUACCUGAUAGCAGAACUGCCUGGGCAACUUCUCCACUUGGCAAAGAUGCUGGAAUGGUUUGCCAUUUCCUUCUCCAGCUCAUUUGACAGAUGAGGGAACUGAGGAAAACGCAAUAAUCAUGGUAUAGUAGAAAAAGGACAACACUAGAAAUCAAGAAGCCUAUAUUCUAGCCCCAAUUCUGUCAUCAACAAGGAGGACAACUCUGGAAUGACCAGCAGGAUGAAUACAGAGAGGACUGGCGAGACUUACAUGAACUGAUGCUGAGUGAAAUGAGCAGAACCAGGAGAUCAUUAUAUACCUCAGCAACGAUACUGUUUGAGGAUGUAUUCUGAUGGAAGUGGAUCUCUUCAAUAAAGAGAGCCUUAAUUGAUCAAAGAUGGACAGAAGCAGCUACACCCAGAGAAAGAACACUGGGAAAUGAAUAUAAACUGCUUGCAUUUUUGUUUUUCUUCCCGGGUUAUUUAUACCUUCUGAAUUCAAUUCUCCCUGUGCAACAAGAAAACUGUUCGGUUCUACACAAAUACAUUGUAUCCAGGAUAUACUGUAACCUAUUCAACAUGUAAAGGACUGCUUGCAAUCUGGGGGAGGGGGUGGAGGGAGGGAGGGGAAAAAUCGGAACAGAAAUGAAUGCAAGGGAUAAUGCUGUAAAAAAUUACCCCUGGCAUGGGUUCUAUCAAUAAAAAGAUAUUAAAAUUAAAAAAA